UUUAUGGAGAGUUUGAUCCUGGCUCAGGAUGAACGCUGGCGGCGUGCCUAAUACAUGCAAGUCGAGCGAACGGACGAGAAGCUUGCUUCUCUGAUGUUAGCGGCGGACGGGUGAGUAACACGUGGAUAACCUACCUAUAAGACUGGGAUAACUUCGGGAAACCGGAGCUAAUACCGGAUAAUAUUUUGAACCGCAUGGUUCAAAAGUGAAAGACGGUCUUGCUGUCACUUAUAGAUGGAUCCGCGCUGCAUUAGCUAGUUGGUAAGGUAACGGCUUACCAAGGCAACGAUGCAUAGCCGACCUGAGAGGGUGAUCGGCCACACUGGAACUGAGACACGGUCCAGACUCCUACGGGAGGCAGCAGUAGGGAAUCUUCCGCAAUGGGCGAAAGCCUGACGGAGCAACGCCGCGUGAGUGAUGAAGGUCUUCGGAUCGUAAAACUCUGUUAUUAGGGAAGAACAUAUGUGUAAGUAACUGUGCACAUCUUGACGGUACCUAAUCAGAAAGCCACGGCUAACUACGUGCCAGCAGCCGCGGUAAUACGUAGGUGGCAAGCGUUAUCCGGAAUUAUUGGGCGUAAAGCGCGCGUAGGCGGUUUUUUAAGUCUGAUGUGAAAGCCCACGGCUCAACCGUGGAGGGUCAUUGGAAACUGGAAAACUUGAGUGCAGAAGAGGAAAGUGGAAUUCCAUGUGUAGCGGUGAAAUGCGCAGAGAUAUGGAGGAACACCAGUGGCGAAGGCGACUUUCUGGUCUGUAACUGACGCUGAUGUGCGAAAGCGUGGGGAUCAAACAGGAUUAGAUACCCUGGUAGUCCACGCCGUAAACGAUGAGUGCUAAGU
rnacentral:rRNA from 1 species